UCUCUCCGCAAUUAUAAAAAAAGAAAUUCUGAUCUCUCUCUCUCUCCGGCGAAACACUCUUUCUCUCCACCAUCACGUCGGCGACUGGAAUUAAAUUUCCGACGCCGUUAGCGACUGGAUCUCCAACACACAAACUAGAUCUCCGAUGCACGACGCCGACUGGAACAAGAUCUCUAAUUCUCUGCUCUUCAUCUCAACUCCAUCGGCCACGUCUCCGGCUCAGGCUCCCUCAACAAUUCCCUUAGAUUCCUCCAUCUCAGGUGUGUUUUGAUUGUACUCCUUCUACGUUCAUAGUCGUCAUCCUCCACAGCUUGAGCUUUGCAAUCGAAAUCUGACUGCUAGUGUUAGCGGUAAAGCCUUCAAGCCUAUUACUUGAAGUCGAUGCAGAAUGAGCUCGUUCUCCAUCACGCGGAAGAGGACUCCCUUCCAAAAGCACAGAGAGGGAGAAAAAGGUAUUGUACUAGUGAAUUUGUUAAUUUUUUAAAAUUUUUCCAUAAUUCGAUCUCCUUUUGAUCGAGCAGUUUGAGUUUACCAAGAUUUGUAAUUACCUAGUGAAUUUGUGAAUUUCAAAUGGGCAAUAAAAUUCUACAAAUGCUUUUCUGAGGUGAAAUAGCAUGCUGCCAAGUUUUCUCUAUAAUUAAACAGCCAAUAUAGUGGUUGUGUGUGUAGCAGAGUCUCUAUGCAGGACAUAGUGGCUAUGAUUACUGAUCAUGCUUUAAAAAUUGAUGUAGUAUUGGAGAAAGCAAUCUACUCCCGAAGCUUUGCAGGUUGUGAUUUAUCAAAGUUGGACUGUGAUGAUAAUGCUUUAUUUGAUACGGUUUAUUGGUUUCUUUUAUUAAUUAUGCGUCCUCAAAGUAUACAUGACUCUCUGUUCUUUGGCCUGUAAUGAAUUUAAUUUAUUGAUAUUGUGAGCAUGAAUUUGGAGAUGGCUUUGGGUUGGUAAGUCCAUUUUGUUGCUACUUUUUUAUGGCUGCAAGUGUAACUGGCAGGAUUUAAAUUUGUGCUUUGGCUUUAUUAGUUUUGGCAAUCAACUAAAUUCUAUCAUUAGCUUCCUUCCCCUUAUCCAAAUCUUUUUACAUUUAUUUGUUUGAUGUAAUGUUUUUAAUUUUUUGCUGCGAAAGGUAUUUAGACAUGUAGUUUCAUGUGGUGGGACAAGAUAUAGGAAAACAGAAAGAUAUCAAAGCCUAAUACUUAGUUGUAGUUGAAAGAGAUACAUGCAACUUUGCUCUGGCUAAAUGCUCUGUAUUGAACAUUGAGACAGUUUGUGAUAACCAUAUUGUGUAACUUGACAGUGACUCUCAAAUUACUAGGUUUGGAGAUAGUUUUUCUAUUUUUAUUUUUAUUGAUUUCAAGUCAGUAGCUCUCCAUGAUUGUUAUAGUAUCUUUUCAACACAUAAAUAGUACAUUUCUAUGGCUACGGUAGUAUAUUUUAAGUUGAUGCCAAUGGCUUUUUUGUUUUCGUUUUGGUCGAUUUCAAGUUAGCUAUAACUGUUAUAGUAGAUUUUCAACACAGUAAUAGUAGCUUUAUAUCCCUAUGUGAGUAUCUUUUUAAUCUGAUGUCAGUAGCUUUGUAGAUUUUUUAAAGUUGUUUUCUGUGUCUAUGUCAGUAGCUUUUUAUUAUUGGUCCAGUAGCUUUGUACGUGUAUUAUAGUAGCUUUAUGUACCUAUGACAGUGGUUUUUUAGAUUUUUUAUUAUUGGUCCAGUUGAUAAAGUGUACCAGGUUUGCGGUGCAGUGGUACAUUGCUAUUUUUAGUUUUCAUUUCAAAUACAUUUUGUUGCAUUUUUGUUCUUGCAGAAUUCUUCUCCUUUGCAUUUGUAGUAGCAGAUUUCUAAAAUCAUGACAGUGGUUUUUUAGAUUUUUUAUUAUUGGUCCAGUUGAUAAAGUGUACCAGGUUUGCGGUGCAGUGGUACAUUGCUAUUUUUAGUUUUCAUUUCAAAUACAUUUUGUUGCAUUUUUGUUCUUGCAGAAUUCUUCUCCUUUGCAUUUGCAGUAGCAGAUUUCUAAAAUCAUGUGAAUUUGGAUAUUGAAGCCUCCAUUGACCAGAGAUCAUUCAGCCAACCAAGAAAUGUUGAAAUGAAGUAUUGUGUUGAAGAUGGCAAAAUUAUGCCUGUGUUUAGAGCAUCAUCAUUGAAAAGUGACAGUAGGAUUACAACAUUGACAGUAGCUUUAUACAACUAUUGUAAUAGAUUUUCACAACUAUGGUAGUGACUUUUAACAACUAUUGAAGUUGCUUUUUACAUAGUGAUAUCAUUUUUGAAUGUUACAUACUUUUUAUAUCAUUGAAUAUGUUUUCUUUUC